GAUGAACGCUGGCGGCGUGCUUAACACAUGCAAGUCGAACGGGAAGGCCAGUGCUUGCACUGGUACUCGAGUGGCGAACGGGUGAGUAACACGUGGGUGAUCUGCCCUGCACUUCGGGAUAAGCCUGGGAAACUGGGUCUAAUACCGGAUAGGACAAUGGUUUGGAUGCCGUUGUGGAAAGUUUUUUCGGUGUGGGAUGAGCUCGCGGCCUAUCAGCUUGUUGGUGGGGUAAUGGCCUACCAAGGCGUCGACGGGUAGCCGGCCUGAGAGGGUGUACGGCCACAUUGGGACUGAGAUACGGCCCAGACUCCUACGGGAGGCAGCAGUGGGGAAUAUUGCACAAUGGGCGCAAGCCUGAUGCAGCGACGCCGCGUGGGGGAUGACGGCCUUCGGGUUGUAAACUCCUUUCGCUAGGGACGAAGCGUAUUUGUGACGGUACCUGGAGAAGAAGCACCGGCUAACUACGUG
rnacentral:rRNA from 1 species